ACCAGUGGUUGGCCCUGCCGCACCUCGACCUCAAUAUCAGGACCCAACAUAUAGGCAUGGACCAUACCAUCAAUUUCAAAAUGCUCCUCAACCGUCUACUACUGGUCAUAGCUCAGCUUUUGAGAAAAAAGUUCUGAAAGAACUAGAACGAUUAGAAGUCAACACUCAGACCUUUAACUCCCACACACAAUCCAUUGCUAAGCUAGAGAUCCAAAUAGGUUAACUAGCGACUGCAUUCAGUAGGAGGGAAGGAGAAAAAUUAUCUAGCCAACCCGAGAGCAACCCAAGAGGGCAAUUUGUGAUUGAGAGCUCUAAUACCCC
rnacentral:lncRNA from 1 species